rnacentral:rRNA from 1 species
UACGUAGGGUGCGAGCGUUGUCCGGAAUUAUUGGGCGUAAAGAGCUCGUAGGCGGCUUGUUGCGUCGACUGUGAAAACCCGCGGCUUAACUGCGGGCUUGCAGUUGAUACGGGCAGGCUAGAGUUCGGUAGGGGAGACUGGAAUUCCUGGUGUAGCGGUGAAAUGCGCAGAUAUCAGGAGGAACACCGGUGGCGAAGGCGGGUCUCUGGGCCGACACUGACACUGAGAGACGAAAGCUAGGGGAGCGAAUGGG